CCUACGGGAUGCAGCAGUAGGGAAUCUUUCACAAUGGGCGAAAGCCUGAUGGAGCAACGCCGCGUGCAGGAUGAAGGCCUUCGGGUUGUAAACUGCUUUUAUAAGCGAGAAAUAUGAUGGUAACUUAUGAAUAAGGAUCGGCUAACUACGUGCCAGCAGCCGCGGUCAUACGUAGGAUCCGAGCAUUAUCCGGAGUGACUGGGUGUAAAGAGUUGCGUAGGUGGCAUAAUAAGUAGCUAGUGAAAUCUGGUGGCUCAACCAUUCAGACUAUUGGCUAAACUGUUAAGCUCGAGACCGUUAGGGGUAACUGGAAUUUCUAGUGUAGGAGUGAAAUCCGUAGAUAUUAGAAGGAACACCAAUAGCGUAGGCAGGUUGCUGGGACGGUUCUGACACUAAGGCACGAAAGCGUAGGGAGCAAACGGGAUUAGAUACCCGGGUAGUC
rnacentral:rRNA from 1 species